UACGUAGGGUGCAAGCGUUAAUCGGAAUUACUGGGCGUAAAGCGUGCGCAGGCGGUUGUGCAAGACCGAUGUGAAAUCCCCGGGCUUAACCUGGGAAUGGCAUUGGUGACUGCACGGCUAGAGUGUGUCAGAGGGGGGUAGAAUUCCACGUGUAGCAGUGAAAUGCGUAGAGAUGUGGAGGAAUACCGAUGGCGAAAGGCAGCCCCCUGGGUCAAGAUUGACGCUCAUGCACGAAAGCGUGGGCAGCAAACAGG
rnacentral:rRNA from 1 species